CCUACGGGGCGCAGCAGUGGGGGAUAUUGCACAAUGGGGGGAACCCUGAUGCAGCGACGCCGCGUGGGUGAAGAAGCGCCUCGGCGCGUAAAGCCCUGUCAGCAGGGAAGAAAAUGACGGUACCUGAAGAAGAAGCCCCGGCUAACUACGUGCCAGCAGCCGCGGUAAUACGUAGGGGGCAAGCGUUAUCCGGAUUUACUGGGUGGAAAGGGGGCGGAGACGGCGAUGCAAGCCAGGAGUGAAAGCCCGGGGCCCAACCCCGGGACUGCUCUUGGAACUGCGUGGCUGGAGUGCAGGAGGGGCAGGCGGAAUUCCUGGUGUAGCGGUGAAAUGCGUAGAUAUCAGGAGGAACACCGGUGGCGAAGGCGGCCUGCUGGACUGCAACUGACGUUGAGGCCCGAAAGCGUGGGGAGCAAACAGGAUUAGAUACCCCAGUAGUC
rnacentral:rRNA from 1 species